UACGUAGGGGGCGAGCGUUGUCCGGAUUUAUUGGGCGUAAAGAGCUCGUAGGCGGCUUGGCAAGUCGGGUGUGAAACCUCCAGGCUCAACCUGGAGACGCCACUCGAUACUGCCAUGGCUAGAGUCCGGUAGGGGACCACGGAAUUCCUGGUGUAGCGGUGAAAUGCGCAGAUAUCAGGAGGAACACCGGUGGCGAAGGCGGUGGUCUGGGCCGGCACUGACGCUGAGGAGCGAAAGCGUGGGUAGCAAACGGG
rnacentral:rRNA from 1 species